GAUGAACGCUAGCUACAGGCUUAACACAUGCAAGUCGAGGGGCAGCAUGAACUUAGCUUGCUAAGUUUGAUGGCGACCGGCGCACGGGUGAGUAACACGUAUCCAACCUUCCGUUUACUCAGGGAUAGCCUUUCGAAAGAAAGAUUAAUACCUGAUAGUAUGGUGAGAUUGCAUGAUAGCACCAUUAAAGAUUUAUUGGUAAACGAUGGGGAUGCGUUCCAUUAGGUAGUAGGCGGGGUAACGGCCCACCUAGCCGACGAUGGAUAGGGGUUCUGAGAGGAAGGUCCCCCACAUUGGAACUGAGACACGGUCCAAAACUCCUACGGGAGGCAGCAGUGAGGAAUAUUGGUCAAUGGGCGAGAGCCUGAACCAGCCAAGUAGCGUGAAGGAUGAAGGUCCUACGGAUUGUAAACUUCUUUUAUACGGGAAUAAAGUUUCCUACGUGUAGGAUUUUGUAUGUACCGUAUGAAUAAGCAUCGGCUAACUCCGUG
rnacentral:rRNA from 1 species